rnacentral:rRNA from 1 species
UACGGAGGGUGCAAGCGUUAUCCGGAUUCACUGGGUUUAAAGGGUGCGUAGGUGGGCAGGUAAGUCAGUGGUGAAAUCUCCGGGCUUAACUCGGAAACUGCCAUUGAUACUAUCUGUCUUGAAUACCGUGGAGGUCAGCGGAAUAUGUCAUGUAGCGGUGAAAUGCUUAGACAUGACAUAGAACACCAAUUGCGAAGGCAGCUGGCUACACGAAUAUUGACACUGAUGCACGAAAGCGUGGGGAUCAAACAGG